ACUCCUACGGGAGGCAGCAGUGGGGAAUAUUGGACAAUGGGCGAAAGCCUGAUCCAGCCAUGCCGCGUGUGUGAAGAAGGGUCUUCGGAUUGUAAAGCACUCUAAGUUGGGAGGAAGGGCAGUAA
rnacentral:rRNA from 1 species